UAUACACAUAACAUAAAACGCUAAGCUAGCUUUCAUUGAUGAAUACUGUUAAAAGAAAGUGUAAUUCUUGGUUAAUUGCGCUAAGUCGGCUGGAACUAAAACGAACAUACGAAACGGUAUCAUUUUUUAACGAACAUCUUAAAACUUUCUUAAGUGUUUCAUCUUCUUAAACAUUAUGUGUGUCCUAUUUUAUUAAAUGAAUCAUUAAUUGACGCAUUCCGAAAGGAAACGGGAGAAAUAUUGGGUGUGCUUUUUUUCUCACGAUCAAACAAUACACUUGCUAUGGCAAAAAUUAGAGAGAGCUAUCCGAGAUUGAUUUUUUACCAGUCAAAUUGCGAUGAUGUGUUAUUUUUUCAUCCAGACAAAGAGACAUCUUCAGAUGAUGACGAGCGACUUUAGAAUACUUUAAUCUGGAUUUUAAUACAGUGCGCAGACGACAGUUGUCAAGUAGUUGCUAAGAAUGGAAGUUGCGUCGUAAGAAUAUCACAAAGAAAUACAUG
rnacentral:lncRNA from 1 species